rnacentral:rRNA from 1 species
GAUCAUGGCUCAGAUUGAACGCUGGCGGCAUGCCUUACACAUGCAAGUCGAACGGCAGCGCGGACUUCGGUCUGGCGGCGAGUGGCGAACGGGUGAGUAAUACAUCGGAACGUACCCUGUUGUGGGGGAUAACUAGUCGAAAGAUUAGCUAAUACCGCAUACGACCUGAGGGUGAAAGUGGGGGACCGCAAGGCCUCACGCAGCAGGAGCGGCCGAUGUCUGAUUAGCUAGUUGGUGGGGUAAAGGCCCACCAAGGCGACGAUCAGUAGCUGGUCUGAGAGGACGAUCAGCCACACUGGGACUGAGACACGGCCCAGACUCCUACGGGAGGCAGCAGUGGGGAAUUUUGGACAAUGGGGGCAACCCUGAUCCAGCAAUGCCGCGUGUGUGAAGAAGGCCUUCGGGUUGUAAAGCACUUUUGUCCGGAAAGAAAUCGCGCUGGUUAAUACCUGGCGUGGAUGACGGUACCGGAAGAAUAAGCACCGGCUAACUACGUG